rnacentral:lncRNA from 1 species
GGGCAUUGUGGUAGGCAUGCAGGUGGGGGCAGGCGAUCACAUCAUAAACAGGAGGCCAGGUGCGACUUGGGUCAGGCUCGCUCUUGUAACUAACUCUGUUCAGAGCUCAGCUCCCAGGAUUGGCUUUAAUCCAGGCCAGGCUUCCUGCAGAGGAGACCUGGCUGCAUGCGCAGGUGCCUUGUGCUAGAGGCCAGCUCCACACAGCGACCUGGCCUGGAGGAGAGAGCACCUGCAUCCAGGAGUCAGGAGAGGCAGGGUGAGGGCCAGUGUGCCAGCUGAGGCGCGGGCGAUUCAGCCCUUGCCAGUGCACAGGCAUGGGGAAGAGGUGGAUCGGGUCCACUGCUGGGGGAGAGAGGCACAGGCACAGAGGCCUCUCCCAGCUGUUGUGGGAGGAGACCCUUCGAUGGGGUGCAGAGACAGAUUAGGGGAGAACAGCGUGUGCAGGGGAGCGCCCAGGAGUGGUGAAGUCGCUACAUGACCAAGGACCCGUGUUUGUCGCACUGUACCUGUCAAGGUGGCAGUGGUUUCAGGGCCUCAGGAUGAAGGAGAGAGGAUCUGUGCAUGGUUGGAGUCUGCUGGGAAUGGGCAGUCCCUGUCCACAGCCUCUGAAUCGGCAGGUGACUACUUAAAGAGCAGCCUCCCGAGCCCGGGUCAGAAUGGCUUUGGCGAUGCUGAUGCUGUCCAGGGCCUGUCAGAGCCGUGCUCAGUUCCCUCGGAAGACGCGCAGCAAGCAGGUGUCCCCCGGAGCUUUCUGGUGGCCCCCGGAGCUUUCUGGUGGUCCACAGUGAUUGGUGAAGAAUCCUGCCCUGUUGUACCCAGUCUUCCACUUGGGCUUGGAAAUACGAAUGGCUGACGGGAUGCGCCAGGCAAGUGGAGCCAGGCUGCGAGGAGGUGAAAACAGCUCCGGGACAGUGACACCGGAGUCUGACCUCCCCCUGUGGGUUCGGCUCCACGCUCACUUCACUUCUGAUCCCUGCCUCCUGUCUAUCAAGUAAACCCCUGACUUAAGUUUGGCAGAUCAGUUCUCAGACGCAUGGUAAGUGAUCACAUAAACUUUGAAAGUUUGCUGUUUGGCAUCUUGCUGCGAAAUCUCAAAUGGGAUGUUAAAACACCAGGC